rnacentral:rRNA from 1 species
CUACGUGCCAGCAGCCGCGGUAAUACGUAGGGCGCGAGCGUUGUCCGGAAUUAUUGGGCGUAAAGAGCUUGUAGGCGGUUUGUCGCGUCUGCUGUGAAAGGCCGGGGCUUAACUCCGUGUAUUGCAGUGGGUACGGGCAGACUAGAGUGCAGUAGGGGAGACUGGAAUUCCUGGUGUAGCGGUGGAAUGCGCAGAUAUCAGGAGGAACACCGAUGGCGAAGGCAGGUCUCUGGGCUGUAACUGACGCUGAGAAGCGAAAGCAUGGGGAGCGAACAGGAUUAGAUACCCUGGUAGUCCAUGCCGUAAACGUUGGGCACUAGGUGUGGGGGACAUUCCACGUUUUCCGCGCCGUAGCUAACGCAUUAAGUGCCCCGCCUGGGGAGUACGGCCGCAAGGUUGAAACUCAAAGGAAUUGACGGGGGCCCGCACAAGCGGUGGAGUAUGUGGUUUAAUUCGAAGCAACGCGAAGAACCUUACCAGGUCUUGACAUCCCUCUGACCGCUCUAGAGAUAGAGUUUUC